AAGGAGAGCAACCUUAAUCCUGCCUUCAAUUCCUAGUGAACAGCAGUUUUGGAAGGCCCUUUUGUAAUCAAAGCUCGAUCUUGGUCAACUAACAGCAUCCUGUGUCUGCCAUCCCACUGCAAGAGUGUCCGGGUCCACGUCACUGACUGCACCAUCCCACUGCAAGAGUGUCCUGGUCCACCUCACUGACCUGCUAGGCAUAAAACGGUGAAUGUUUCUGACUGAAAAAGCGAUUCCAAUGUUAAAAAGCGCAUGUGUCAUGGUCUAGCUAAAUUAGACUUGCCUAGUUCCCAUGUGUUUUUAUGUUUUAUAUGUGCAACCUGCUGCUAGUAAAGGUUGCUCUUUCCGUUGCUAUAGGUCAGUUGGAAUUUUAGGCCGGUCAGAAAAUAGGGGCAGUACAUGGUCGGUCUCAGCUCAUCACAUUCUUGUUUUAAUAUUUGUUUUGGUUUUGUUUGGCUGAUGGGAUGUGGAGGUCCACUCUACAUUUGCAUUUCUGCACACGAUCCCGGUAAUCAUCAAGAGAACAAGCCCCAUUUAGAUAUGGAGAGAAGACUAAAUCCCUGAAGUCAAGUGCAUUACUAUCGGUGUUCGUCACACAGAAAGCAUUUGAACUCCUACAAGGGACAACUAUCUUCACCAAAUUGGACCUCCGUAACGCCUACCACCUGGUCCGGGUCAAGGAGGGAGACGAGUGGAAGACGGCCUUCAACACACCUACAGAGUCGUCCUCCAGCGCCUGCUUGAGAAUCAUCUCUUUGU
ensembl:lncRNA